rnacentral:rRNA from 1 species
UAGGGAAUCUUCGGCAAUGGGGGCAACCCUGACCGAGCAACGCCGCGUGAGUGAAGAAGGUUUUCGGAUCGUAAAGCUCUGUUGUAAGAGAAGAACGAGUGUGAGAGUGGAAAGUUCACACUGUGACGGUAUCUUACCAGAAAGGGACGGCUAACUACGUGCCAGCAGCCGCGGUAAUACGUAGGUCCCGAGCGUUAUCCGGAUUUAUUGGGCGUAAAGCGAGCGCAGGCGGUUAGAUAAGUCUGAAGUUAAAGGCCGUGGCUUAACCAUAGUACGCUUUGGAAACUGUUUAACUUGAGUGCAGAAGGGGAGGGUGGAAUUCCAUGUGUAGCGGUGAAAUGCGUAGAUAUAUGGAGGAACACCGGUGGCGAAAGCGGCUCUCUGGUCUGUAACUGACGCUGAGGCUCGAAAGCGUGGGGAGCAAACAGGAUUAGAUACCCUGGUAGUCCACGCCGUAAACGAUGAGUGCUAGGUGUUGGGUCCUUUCCGGGACUCAGUGCCGCAGCUAACGCAUUAAGCACUCCGCCUGGGGAGUACGACCGCAAGGUUG